AUUGAACGCUGGCGGCAGGCUUAACACAUGCAAGUCGAGCGGGGGAAGGUAGCUUGCUACCGGACCUAGCGGCGGACGGGUGAGUAAUGCUUAGGAAUCUGCCUAUUAGUGGGGGACAACAUCUCGAAAGGGAUGCUAAUACCGCAUACGUCCUACGGGAGAAAGCAGGGGAUCUUCGGACCUUGCGCUAAUAGAUGAGCCUAAGUCGGAUUAGCUAGUUGGUGGGGUAAAGGCCUACCAAGGCGACGAUCUGUAGCGGGUCUGAGAGGAUGAUCCGCCACACUGGGACUGAGACACGGCCCAGACUCCUACGGGAGGCAGCAGUGGGGAAUAUUGGACAAUGGGGGGAACCCUGAUCCAGCCACGCCGCGUGUGUGAAGAAGGCCUUAUGGUUGUAAAGCACUUUAAGCGAGGAGGAGGCUAAUCUAGUUAAUACCUAGGGAUAGUGGACGUUACUCGCAGAAUAAGCACCGGCUAACUCUGUGCCAGCCGCCGCCGUAA
rnacentral:rRNA from 1 species